rnacentral:rRNA from 1 species
UACAGAGGGUGCAAGCGUUGUUCGGAAUUAUUGGGCGUAAAGAGCGUGUAGGCGGCUUUGCAAGUCGGGUGUGAAAGCCCUCAGCUCAACUGAGGAAGUGCGCCCGAAACUGCAGAGCUUGAGUGCCGGAGAGGGUGGCGGAAUUCCCCAAGUAGAGGUGAAAUUCGUAGAUAUGGGGAGGAACACCGGUGGCGAAGGCGGCCACCUGGACGGUAACUGACGCUGAGACGCGAAAGCGUGGGGAGCAAACAGG